rnacentral:lncRNA from 1 species
GAAAGUAUAAGUCACAUGCAUUUACUGAUAAUACACCGAACAAUUGAUAUGAUUGAAGAUGGUAAUUCAAACAACUCAUGAUAGUGCAAGUCACACGGAUGUAUUGAAAUCCCCAAUUUUUAAAAAACAUUAAAAUAUGAAAUCAAACUACUUUGCUAAAAAAAUAAAUCUCCAGUUUUUUUUGCUCAAAAACAAAAUUCUCCAGCUAUUUUGCUAAAAAAAAAAUUCCAGCUUUUAUUUCUUUGAUUCUGUAGCCUGUUUCCAACCCAGACAAACUCAAAACCAAAAAAAUUACCAAACCAACACCUUAAAAAGUGAUACAGAUUCAUGAUUAUACAAAGAAAAUUAACCUCUAACCAAAACAGAUUUUGGAAGUUGAAGUUGUAGGUCGAUAUGCGUUAGCUUGAACUGCAUGAAAUUGAAAAACAAAGUUAGAGAAGAAAAUAAUUGAAACUUGAUGAAUAAUGAAAAUGAAGAUGAAGAGUAAAACCUAGAGGACUUUCUUCCUUUUUCCUUGUUGUCUCCCGUUGGAAGAGAAUGAGAAAGAGAAAGAAGAGAUCCAAAUAAAGCAUGUAUGAGAUAUAAUUGAUUUAUAGGGAGUAGGUUUUUUUCUUGGAAGUUGU